CCUACGGGUGGCAGCAGUGAGGAAUAUUGCACAAUGGGCGAAAGCCUGAUGCAGCAACGCCGCGUGAGCGAUGAAGGCCUUCUGGUCGUAAAGCUCUGUCCUCAAGGAAGAUAAUGACGGUACUUGAGGAGGAAGCCCCGGCUCCCUACGUGCCAGCAGCCGCGGUAAUACGUAGGGGGCUAGCGUUAUCCGGAUUUACGGGGCGUAAGGGGUGCGUAGGUGGUUUCUUAAGUCGGGGGUGAAGGGCUGCGGCUCAACCGUAGUAAGCCUUUGAAACUGGGGAACUUGAGUGCAGGAGAGGAGGGUGGAAUUCGUGGUGUAGCGGUGAAAUGCAUAGAUAUUAGGAAGAACACCAGUUGCGAAGGCAGCUCACUGGGCUGUAACUGACACUGAAGCACGAAAGCGUGGGGAGCAAACAGGAUUAGAUACCCUUGUAGUC
rnacentral:rRNA from 1 species